GCUUUCUUUGUACAAUGUGUUCCUUGGCAGUGGCUCUAUUACAGAGUUCACAGAAGGGAUUUACAAAUCAAUAAUAUCUCUGGAGAGUGGAAUAUGAUAAAUUAGAAAAUAAAGGAAAGACUUCUGGAACCCUUGCAAACACAAGAAACUGUGAAGCACCAUUACCUGUAUGUGAUCAAAAGAAUAAGUGGGACACAGAAGAAAGAACUUUCUGCAGAAAAAGAAAAUUGUAGGAAUCUUCUUUAUCUUUUUUGUUGU